GGGUUGUGAGGUUAAGCGACUAAGCGUACACGGUGGAUGCCCUGGCAGUCAGAGGCGAUGAAGGACGUGCUAAUCUGCGAUAAGCGCCGGUAAGGUGAUAUGAACCGUUAUAACCGGCGAUUUCCGAAUGGGGAAACCCAGUGUGAUUCGUCACACUAUCAUUAACUGAAUCCAUAGGUUAAUGAGGCGAACCGGGGGAACUGAAACAUCUAAGUACCCCGAGGAAAAGAAAUCAACCGAGAUUCCCCCAGUAGCGGCGAGCGAACGGGGAGGAGCCCAGAGCCUGAAUCAGCAUGUGUGUUAGUGGAAGCGUCUGGAAAGGCGCGCGAUACAGGGUGACAGCCCCGUACACAAAAGCGCAUGUGCUGUGAGCUCGAUGAGUAGGGCGGGACACGUGGUAUCCUGUCUGAAUAUGGGGGGACCAUCCUCCAAGGCUAAAUACUCCUGACUGACCGAUAGUGAACCAGUACCGUGAGGGAAAGGCGAAAAGAACCCCGGCGAGGGG
rnacentral:rRNA from 1 species